AACUUUUCUCCAUUUCUCUCUUUUCAUGCCACAAAAUUUCUUCAAAUCUUCAACUGUCUCUGCUCAUACCAUAAAAUGUGUGAGCCACAUUUGGAGACCCAAAAACUCUAAUUAUAAAUUAUGACUCCAUCAGGAAUUUGAGUUCUCCAAAGUUGAAGGAGGAAGGAAGAGAGUUCAAAGUCUGAAUAUUCACUGCGAGGGUAAAUCGUUUGAAGUUUUGAAGGUUUGAAGCUUGAAAUCACUUUGAGGUGAUUUAUGUAGAAUCCCAUGACUAGAGAAGAGGUGUAUUCAUCCAUUCUUGGUGAGAGGUUGGGCUACAUGCUUGGUUUUGGAUUUGGAAAGAAGCCUCCUAGAAAGACUCAAAUGUAGCAGGCGAACAUAGAGGCCAGUGUAUCUUCUGCAAUGGAAAUUAUGCGUCAAGAUAUGCAAGCUGAUAUGGAUUGAAAGUUGCACGGAGAACUUAACUGGAAGUUACAAGAAAAACAUGAACAAAUGGCUAUCGACUUAAAAAGGGAUAUGGAACAUGAUUUGCAAAAUAAAUUGAAAGAGGAGCAUGCACACAUGAAAGGAGAAUUUGACAAGAUGUUCCAAGAACAAAUAGUUGCUUUCAUGACUAGAAUGCAAUAGGGACGAACUUCUUAAACAAUGGGAAGGACCGAAGAAAAGCUUGAAGGCGCGCAAUAGAAAAUUUUGGUCAUAUGUAAUAUGCAUAAAAUGGAAAUUUUUGAUCAUAUGUAAUAUACAUACAAUGGAAGUGUUUGAUGAUAUGUAAUAUACAUAAAUUGGAAGUUUUUGCUUUUUGGGUCAUAUGUAUAUGCAUAUAAUGAACCGAAGUACUCUGUCCAUAGUAUAUAUGCAGUUGACUUUUAAGUAAUGAAAGUAUUUAUAAUAUUCGGCUUGGAAAUGCUUUUGUAAUUUUUAUGCUACCGGAUGUUUUUAGUAGCUAUAUAUUAGUUUAAGAGAAUUCAAUUCUCAAUAGUAAAUAUUUAAUAGUUUUUGUAGCCAAUUUUAUUGUUGAUAUUUCAGUAGCAAGAUAAAUGUUCCACAGAUGUUAUAGUAGUUUUUUUGGCGAUUUAUGUCACUACUAAUGUUAGUUUCAGUAGCAAGAUGAAAGUUGCUACUGAUAGUAUAUUGGUUUUGUGACGACAAGAGUUGCUACUAAUAGAAACAUGUAGCAGCGAGAAAAAACUUGCCACUAAUAGUCUAUUAAGUUUGUGGCGACAAAAGUCGCUACUAAUAUCACUUUUGUAGUGGCGAGGUAAAAGUUGCUGCUGAUAGUUAAUUUGCUUUUGUGGCAGCAAUGUCGCCACUAAAGGUUUUAUUUCAGUGGUGACUAGGCCAAUAUCUAUGUUGUCAAAUAUUUUUUUGUGGCAUACUUGCUUACCUUUAGUGGCGAUAUAUGUCUCUAUAAAUGCCUG